UACGUAGGGAGCAAGCGUUGUCCGGAAUCAUUGGGCGUAAAGCGCGCGCAGGUGGUUUCUUAAGUCUGAUGUGAAAGCCCACGGCUCAACCGUGGAGGGUCAUUGGAAACUGGGGAACUUGAGUGCAGAAGAGGAAAGUGGAAUUCCAAGUGUAGCGGUGAAAUGCGUAGAGAUUUGGAGGAACACCAGUGGCGAAGGCGACUUUCUGGUCUGUAACUGACACUGAGGCGCGAAAGCCAGGGGAGCAAACGGG
rnacentral:rRNA from 1 species